rnacentral:rRNA from 1 species
UACGAAGGGUGCAAGCGUUACUCGGAAUUACUGGGCGUAAAGCGUGCGUAGGUGGUUUGUUAAGUCUGUUGUGAAAGCCCCGGGCUCAACCUGGGAAUGGCAAUGGAUACUGGCAAGCUAGAGUGCGGUAGAGGGUAGUGGAAUUCCCGGUGUAGCGGUGAAAUGCGUAGAGAUCGGGAGGAACACCAAUGGCGAAGGCAGCACUCUGGGACGUGACUGACGCUGAGACGCGAAAGCGUGGGGAGCAAACAGG